UGCCCAUCGAUCGACACUACCGUCCAGUGCCAAUCGACCGCCUAUCGAGACGCUCCUUCCCUAUGCGUGUGUUGAAGAGGUGAAAUUUACACGCCGCCUUACGCCCUUGAACUGCUCUCGGACUGGCUGUCAACUGCCGGAGACGCAAAGAGAUGACCUGACAGAAAGCCUUUAUUCGGCUGACGGGAGAGUGCCCCCUUUCCCGUAGCUACCCCUCACCCACUUCUCUGUAUGCAUAACCCCGCUCCUGUCGUGUAACUAUUAUCUUUGUUUUUGCGCGAUUGUGACUGUUCGAUGCAGAUCGCCAGCGCCUAGACAUGCGCGCAUAGGCGUACGACGGCACCUGCAGCGCUCUUUGCUUAUCUUUGUC